AUUGAACGCUGGCGGCAGGCUUAACACAUGCAAGUCGAGCGGAGAUGAGGUGCUUGCACCUUAUCUUAGCGGCGGACGGGUGAGUAAUGCUUAGGAAUCUGCUUAUUAGUGGGGGACAACAUUCCGAAAGGAAUGCUAAUACCGCAUACGUCCUACGGGAGAAAGCAGGGGAUCUUCGGACCUUGCGCUAAUAGAUGAGCCUAAGUCGGAUUAGCUAGUUGGUGGGGUAAAGGCCUACCAAGGCGACGACCUGUAGCGGGUCUGAGAGGAUGAUCCGCCACACUGGGACUGAGACACGGCCCAGACUCCUACGGGAGGCAGCAGGGGGGAAUAUUGGACAAUGGGGGGAACCCUGAUCCAGCCAUGCCGCGUGUGUGAAGAAGGCCUUAUGGUUGUAAAGCACUUUAAGCGAGGAGGAGGCUACUGAGACUAAUACUCUUGGAUAGUGGACGUUACUCGCAGAAUAAGCACCGGCUAACUCUGUGCCAGCCGCCGCCGUAACAC
rnacentral:rRNA from 1 species